GACGAACGCUGGCGGCGUGCCUAAUACAUGCAAGUUGAGCGCUGAAGGUUGGUACUUGUACCGACUGGAUGAGCAGCGAACGGGUGAGUAACGCGUGGGGAGUCUGCCUUUGAGCGGGGGACAACAUUUGGAAACGAAUGCUAAUACCGCAUAAAAACUUUAAACACAAGUUUUAAGUUUGAAAGAUGCAAUUGCAUCACUCAAAGAUGAUCCCGCGUUGUAUUAGCUAGUUGGUGAGGUAAAGGCUCACCAAGGCGAUGAUACAUAGCCGACCUGAGAGGGUGAUCGGCCACAUUGGGACUGAGACACGGCCCAAACUCCUACGGGAGGCAGCAGUAGGGAAUCUUCGGCAAUGGACGAAAGUCUGACCGAGCAACGCCGCGUGAGUGAAGAAGGUUUUCGGAUCGUAAAACUCUGUUGGUAGAGAAGAACGUUGGUGAGAGUGGAAAGCUCAUCAAGUGACGGUAACUACCCAGAAAGGGACGGCUAACUACGUG
rnacentral:rRNA from 1 species